rnacentral:lncRNA from 1 species
ACAACGACAUCAACGCAAAGCAAAAAGCCAGACUUCGGAGCGGCACUCGUGGGCACAACCCAACCGAGUAUGCAAGCGUGUCUUUGCCGAGCUCAAUCAGGCUCUCACAGGCUGUAGUCAAUGCACUGGGUCUAACUAGUCUAAUAACCAAAACUCACGUGCCCUUGGCACAAUCUGAUGCAAAAUACAGAAAUCUGGGUCCACCGUCAACCGCGACGGCACCCGACAGUCCGAAACAGUCUACACACUACUGUAAAACAAACUCGGUAUCCCAGUACGAGCGUAAACUCCUCCUACACUAAUCUCGGUAUCCAACGCAUACGAACAGCGGCAAUACAAAAGAACCACAGCUCCUAAAGCUAAAUCUGGUAAUUUUCAGAAAAGUGACAUUUUCAGAAAAAUGACAGUGAGGGAUUUAUAUGUUUUCUCCUAAGUCAAGUCCAAGUCCAAUAUGAAUAUAAUAUUAGCUUAACUCCAAAUUCAUAUUUUAUGCUCUAAUCCAUGAAUUCAAGUACUAGCAAGGAAAUAAAACCAAUGAAACAUGUCGACAAUGCUAGAACUUAACACUGAACAUACAGACCAGCCUACCAACCAACCCAGGUUUCGCGCAGGUCUAGCUCCAAAUUUUAACGGAAAAAUCUGACCAUGAAUAGGAUUGCUCAAUUUUAAUAGUAAAAUGUGCGGAUAGUCCCUCUACAAUCAAAAUAUUGCACUUUGCCCCCCUAUACUUUUUCUUUAAAAAUUACUAAAAAUUACAGAGAUUGCCCUUACAUUUCUUUCUUUCUUUCUUUCUUUCUUGAGGCAAUUGCUUAUAUACCCUUAAUAAGUUCUCGAAUUUUUGAUUUACCCCUCUUAGAAGGCUAAUAUUGAAAAUACCCUUUUUAUGUUCCAAAUAUUUCAAAUAUACUCUCCUAGAGUUAAAUUCCGUUAAUAAACCGUUAGCAAUAACUGUUAUCGGUAUGAAAUUAUUAUUUUGCCUUUUCAACAACACCAAUUUUUCUUAUUUGCCCUUGUUAGGGGUACAAAAAAUAUUUUAAUUUUUGAUUUUUUCAAAUAUACCCCCCUAUCAUCAUCAACAUUUUUAUUUGCCACCGACCGUCCUUAGAGUAAGUGGCAAAGGGCUUGGUGGUUGGUACCCAAGACCCAAGUUCGAAUCCUAGUUGAUUUACAUUUCCAGCUAAGUUUAUUUUUAAUUGAAAUAAACGAAGCGGGUAGCGUGCUACCUAUCUCUCAAAAAAAAAUAUUUCUUAUUUGCCCUUAAGUUAAGAGCAAAGAGGCAUUUCGAUUUUUUUUUAACUCUAAUAGAUAUUUAACUUACAUUUAAUUCAAGUUAACUUAAUGGAUGGUAACUGGGUAUUUUGGAAUAACGGAGGAACAUAUGAGGGGUAUAUUGGAAAGAAAAAAAAAAAGUAAGAUAAAUGAGAUAUUUAUGAAGUUUUGAAGAGUAUAUAGGUAAUUAUCCCUUCUUUCUUUCUUUCUUUCUUUUUUUUGCCCCUUUCUCGCUAGCUCAUAACUUAGUCUGGACUGCAGUAUCAAUUAUUGACAAGCUCCAAAUCUCUGUCUAGUUUGCCGUAUUUGUAUCCUUACGCAGCAAUUCAACCUACAGUUGAAGGCUCAAUUGUAGCAGUUUGAUAUCCGCCUAAGUCGGACAUAGCUGGAAAUAUAAUAAUUGAAUAGAAUAAUUCUAUACA